UCUGGAAUCUCUGUGGUUAUUGGGU
rnacentral:piRNA from 1 species